rnacentral:lncRNA from 1 species
GCAAAGGCCCCAAGUGAUUCCCUAAAGACCUGGCCAGGAAUGCCUGAGUCUGGCCCAAAGGGCUUCCUAGGAAAGGGCCCACGUGCCGCGGCAGAAGCCACACAGCCAUGCUGCACCCCAGAGAGCGCCAAAGAAGAUCGAUUGACAACUGCAACAUGCAACGUGCCAGAUUUCUCUGGCAGUGCUCCAGCUAGUCAGAGCCAAUUAAUAUGAAACCAAUAGGCCAAAUCAACGUUUUCAGAAGUUAACUCAAAAAAAUCCCAGAAGAUUAACCAGCCUGUGGCCUUUGCUAUGAAAUUGUUACCACACCACUUUCUUUUCUUUUGAAAGUCCAGAUGGGCAGAUAAAUCCAAAGUGGAUCAACCACAUCUGCCAUUCCUCCACACAAAUUACACCCCCUCCCACAACUUCCCUCUUCCCUCUCCAGCAUGCAAAGCACUCAGGGCCUGGGCUGAAUUGACAUUUUAUGCCACACUGUAUGUUUUGAAUUCCUCAUUGUAUUAUGAGGAACUGCAUCAUGACCCCUCUGAGGCAAAGAGCUGGCAGAUUCUGAAAUUUGCCUUCUCCAAAGGUGAGAACUGCAUUUGUGGAGGGACGGCUUUCUUCCAGGCACAAAAUGAGCCAAGAGUAGAACCCAGCCCCGUUGGCUGCCUUCUCCAGUGUUCUGAACCGGUAUUCAAAUCAGCAAAGUCCAGCUCAUCUGGCCCCAAAGACCUGAGCAGAUCUGUCCUCUUCCUGCCUGGCCUGCCUCCAAAGUCUGAUGCCUGGUCCUUGUCUUGAUGUUGGCUUGAACUGGACAGUUUCUGUCAUUAUCCUGGCCACACAUUCAAGGUUACUUGAUGGAGAUGCCCUGAGGACUUUGGGAAUCUACAGCGUCUGCCGCAUGCCAGAUAUGACCUCACAGUGAUAAAAGUUGUUCUGCCUUUCUGGAACUUGCAACUCUGAGGCUUCAGCAAGAGGGCGACGCCUGAGCCCCUGCCCAUUUCUCCAAGCAUGCAGGCAUUAUAUAACUGCAUUGACAAACAGCCACCUGUCUCUGGCAGUGUGACCUGAAACCCAUUCUCUG